GACUGCUUGGCGCAAUGGUAGCGCGCGGACCUCCUACUACUGGACAGUCCGAGGCUGUGGGUUCGAGUCCCAUGGUGGUCG